CUGCCCAGUGACUCAAUUCAACGGCCGCGGUAUCCUAACCGUGCAAAGGUAGCGUAAUCACUUGUUCUUUAAAUCAGGACUAGUAUGAACGGCAUCACGAAGGUUAUACUGUCUCCUUUUUCCAAUCAGUGAAACUAAUCUCCCCGUGAAGAAGCGGGGAUAGAACUAUAAGACGAGAAGACCCUAUGGAGCUUCAAACGACACAACAAAUGCUAAACUACUUAAAAAUUUCAGAACCACAACUCUAUAGCACUAUGAUUGUUAAUUUUAGGUUGGGGUGACCGCGGAGCAAAACACAACCUCCACAUUGAAAGAAUUUUAUUCUAAGCCAAGAACCACAACUCAAAGCAUCAAUACACUGACAUAAUUGACCCAAUAAACUUGAACAACGAACCAAGUUACCCUAGGGAUAACAGCGCAAUCUACUUCAAGAGCCCCUAUCGACAAGUAGGUUUACGACCUCGAUGUUGGAUCAGGGUCUCCCAGUGGUGCAGCCACUACUAAAGGUUCGUUUGUUCAACGAUUAAUAC
rnacentral:rRNA from 1 species